rnacentral:rRNA from 1 species
UGGGGAAUAUUGCACAAUGGAGGGAACUCUGAUGCAGCGACGCCGCGUGAGUGAUGAAGGAUUUCGUUUCGUAAAACUCUGUUCUAUGGGAAGAAAAGGACUGUACCAUAGGAGAAAGCUCCGGCUAAAUACGUGCCAGCAGCCGCGGUAAUACGUAUGGAGCGAGCGUUGUCCGGAAUUAUUGGGCGUAAAGGGUGCGCAGGCGGCUUUACAAGUUGGAUGUGAAAUAUUGUGGCUCAACCACAAACGUGCAUCCAAAACUGCAAAGCUUGAGUUAAGGAGAGGUAAGUGAAAUUCCUGGUGUAGCGGUGGAAUGCGUAGAUAUCAGGAGGAAUACCGGUGGCGAAGGCGACUUACUGGACUUAAACUGACGCUCAGGCACGAAAGCGUGGGGAGCAAACAGG